GUGCCAGCAGCCGCGGUAAUACGGAGGGUGCGAGCGUUAAUCGGAAUUACUGGGCGUAAAGGGCGCGUAGGCGGUCGCGCAAGUCGGGUGUGAAAGCCCCGGGCUCAACCUGGGAAUUGCAUUCGAUACUGCGUAAAUAGAGUCUGGUAGAGGGAAGCGGAAUUCCGCAUGUAGCGGUGAAAUGCGUAGAUAUGCGGAGGAACACCAGUGGCGAAGACGGCUUCCUGGACCAAGACUGACGCUGAGGCGCGAAAGCGUGGGGAGCAAACAGGAUUAGAUACCCUGGUAGUCCACGCCCUAAACGAUGAGGACUAGACGUUGGGGGGAUAAAACCCUUUAGUGUCGCAGCUAACGCGUGAAGUCCUCCGCCUGGGGAGUACGGCCGCAAGGUUGAAACUCAAAUGAAUUGACGG
rnacentral:rRNA from 1 species